GUGCUUUGCAUUGACCCAUAUCACACUAAUGGCUUUGAGUUAGACUAUGUAAACACAUUUUUAAGCCAAACAUGAUAUGUGAGAACACUAAAGCAUUUGGAAGUUCCCCCGCUUUCGGGUACCAUGUUAAUGGGUAAUAAAUGUUGGUUAUUUAACUGCACUCUUUUGGUGCACCGCAAUUAAUGCAGAGGCAGGUCCCACAUUAAAACCUGCUGAUGCAUUUGAUUUGGUGAGAUGGAGGGAAAGCUGAGGCAGUAAGUGUAUAAACAAAGUACGGCAAAUUCAUCUGUGACGUAGAUGUGUUUCUGCAUAAAGCUGUGCGCAAUGUUUUCCCAGUCCUAGGUUCUUGUGAAGUCGAAUUCAUGGUAAUGAGGAAGAAUAGGUUGUGUUGACGUUUAAAAAUAAGCAUGGUUUAAAAUAUUAAAGAAAGAAAGAAAGAAAGAAAGAAAGAAAGAAAAAGAAAGAAAGAAAGAGAAGGAAAGAAAGAAAGAGAAAGAAAGAAAGAAAAUGGUACAUUUAUUAUUACAAAUCAAAUUUUUAUUUAAAAUGUGUAAUUAAAAUAAGUAUUUAAAGGAGUAUUUAAAUAAGUAUUUAAAGAAAGAAGGCGUGGUUUCAGUAACCGUAGUUAGUGUUGAAGCAGUCAUGUCAGGGAGAUGCUGUGUGUUUCUAUGUGAAAGCAAAAGCACUUUAUUUGGCCUUUCGAAAGUAGAUGCAUUUAGGAAUCUUUAAGAUUACUUACAACAGAACAGCAAUACAUUUUAUGGACGACCGUUUCGUGAACCUAAGAGAGGAGGUAAUUCUGACUUUGCUACGACAAUCUGGUGCUUCUGAAUCAGCUACUUUUAUUUAGAUCUUGGAGCCAAGAAGACCAAAUCAAGGAUACACCCUCCAAGAGGAGAUUAUUCAUUCAGCGCAGGGAGGCCCAGAUGGUUAUCAGGAGACUUCUGGCUCGCCGUGCACCUCAUCUGAGGGUAAAUAACGUACCAACGGGGAUUGCCGGUGGCGAUUACAUCAUUUACAGGGAAUCAAAGGUCUGCUGUCUCCUACUAAAAAAAAAAAAAACGGUUGGAUUAGACCAUGAUGGUCGAAUAAAAGAAAUUCUGUCAUUAAAUAAAAAAAAGUUUGAUUUCCAUUGCCAAAUAUACUUGAAAAAAUACUUCACACAAAAUAUACUCACCGUUAUAUUGUUCCAAACCCACAUGGC
ensembl:lncRNA